rnacentral:lncRNA from 1 species
GAAUGUAUAAGAAAAGCUAUUCCCAGGAACACACAUAGGUACUCUUUUUGUAAGCACAGCAAUCUCAUGACAAUUCAUUAGUGGUAAUCCUAGUGCCCACGUAGAAGUUCUUGAUGCAUGGAGACAACUGAGGAGAGAAAGACAAAACUGGAAAAUUACCAUUGCCUGUAACCCCCCAUGGUUGUCAUGAAGUAGAAAGGACACACAUACAAGAACACAGAAACAAGAAAUGACUUAUCACAUAAAACAUGAGCACUCCCAAGCAAUACUCCAAAGCUGAUUUUGAAUUGUAUUUCUGGAAGAAGAGGUACUGCCAAACCCUGGAAGGAAAGGAAGAAUACAAGCAUUAUAAAAACUAGAAUUCCAACUGGUUUUAAUUUUGCAAUAAUAUCUUUUGGAAAAUACUUUCGAGCUUCAUUGUUGAAUAAUUUAUAAUACAGGUAGCAUAAAUUUGUAGUAUAAGAUAAAGUUUUCAAAUUUUUAGAAUGUCUUAUAAUCACCACAUCAAUGCUCCUGGUGUCCUAUGUCUCAAGAACAUUUAGCAUGCUCUUUAUUUUCAUGUAUGUUUUUAUUUCUGCUAAGUUUAUAGAUUAAAAAAAAGGAUUCUGAUCAUUUGAUCCUAUUCUUCCUCUUCAAUUCUCCAGCAUCCUCUAUCUCAUUUGUCUCCCAAAUUCAUCUGAUCCUUUUCUUAUACCUACGGAGUGUUGACCAUGUGUACAGGUGUAGGUCAACCAGCUGGGCAGGCACCCUACCAAGGGCUAUACCCUUGAAAAAAAGUGAUCUCCUACCCACAGUAGCCAUUAUUACUAUUAAUAGCUCUUCAGGAAGGAAUGUAGCCUUUCAAGCCUCUCUCUAAUCCAUACUGUACAUUUCGAUGUCUAGAGAUUUGCAUAUGCAUGCACACAAUGGGAAUUUUGUUCCCUUUACCGUGACAAUUUCCAUUUGAGGAAAUUUGAGAUUGAUUCUGCAAAACCGAUGAAAAAACUCCAAGGAAGACACAGACCAAUCCUAACAAUCCUAGCAGCUAAGGGAAGCAAUAACCUGUUCUUCACUUUAAGAACAAACAGCUGGAGAAAGGAGAUGAAAACAAUGAAGCUUUUGAAUAUAUAUGACUUUGGUAAAACAAAAGUAAAGAGAGAACACAGAAGUUGCUCUUUCUUGGGGAAUUUUGACACUUUAGUAAUUAGGAAAACUUGACUAUCUCAGAGCUGACUCUAUUUCAGUUUGUUUGGUAACUGGCUUGUCAGAUAUUCAUUCUAAAUUAAUUCUAAAGCUGUAGAAACAUCAGCAUGUAGUUAGAUAUUCUGCGUUUAAAUUAUUUUUGAUUUUCAGAUAAACAGGCUUUUAUUUAAAAAAUAAGUGUGAUUUCUAAAAUAUGGAAGGAGUGAGGCGGCUGGCAGUUGAUGAACCCAUCCUUUAGUGAACGUGGAUUUACCCGAGUCUGGGAUCAAUAUUUUCCAGAUAGUCAUCAGUCAGCUGCAAAAGUACAAGUGUCUAGCACAAUGAGCUAGAAAAUGGAUCAGAUCAAACAUGCCAGCGAGGCCAGGUAAUACUCAGAAACAAAGCAGACUGCAAAAGCCUCUGCCUGUGCUCUGCAACCACAGUCAGCUCUGCUCAGACCCUGCAGGCCAUUUGCUCUUCUUCAGGUUAUUGAACAACAUGUUGGAGGCUGGAGAGAACUGUUCUCUUAUGGCCUUAGUUUGAGGUUAAAGAAAAACAAACCUAGGAAAUAUAAAUUUCAAUUCUUUGGAAAGCAUACUGGCUCAUCAGAAGGCACCACUGACAAUGGGCCUAUUAGUCAAUGAUGGCCCUGACUUAGGAAAGAUACUACAGAGCUGAGUCAGCUCCUGGGACACCUAGCUGGAGGAGAUAGCAGGGCCAGAACAGAGACAGUUUCUGAAAUUCCUCGAGGUCUCACCAUUUAUAAUAGAACUAACAGAGCAAACAAACAAAAUUGUACUAAUGUCACGGCUUUGUCUCAAUCAAUCAUAUUCGAGGUUACUUGGAAAAUUUGCCUACCCUGCAUAGAAAGGGUCCAAUGAGCCAUUCUGUCCAUCACUAUUUUGAUUAAUUGAUCCCUACAUUCUGGUAACUUCUGAAAAAUACUCUUUGCCUUUGCAUACUAUUUGAGUCUUGGGUCUUCCUUCAACGAUUCUUGCACCCUAACCCUCAGCUUUAACACAAUUGCAUUUUACAAUUCAUUAACGCUCUGUACAGAAUCUGAUAGAACAGCUGGGAGUUGUUAUCUGACCAAACAACAAAGAGAAAAAAUGAAAAUAUCCCUUUUCCUAUAAUCCUUAAUUGUCCAGCAAGUAAGUUUGGUAUAUUUCAGUCAUCUUCAGAAGACAAACCUUCUGACAGAGGUUUGGAGGGUUCCAACCCUAACAGUUGAGGCCAGGGAACACCUUGCUCUGCUACUGUGGUGGUGGCAUGUUCUGCCUCUGUACUGUGGGAUGUUUGAAUAUCACUUUGACAUUUGAAUACCAACUUACUUUGGAUCACUGCAUUUUCUUAAAUGAUUGUAUGGGCAUUGCCUUCUUCCAAGUUCACAGAACUUUCUGACAGGCAGUGCAGUACAACUUCUAAAAGUAACCAUUAGAGAGAAUUACAUGGGCUGGGGGACUGAGGAACACCUUAGUGGGUAAAGAUGCUUGCUGCCAGGCCAUAUGGCCUGGAUUCAAGAUUAGGAACACACAUAGAGGAAGAAUAUUUCUACAAGUUUUCCUCUGACCUCCAAUCAUGUGCCAUAAUGAACACACACACACACAUAAGAGAGACAGAGACAGAGACAGAGACAGAGACAGAGACAGAGACAGAGACAGACAGACAGAGAAAAGGGAAAAGAAAUUUCUGUUGAUUAAUGACAAAACUUUCAAGACACACCUUUAGGCAGGGAACUUUCUCUGAGGUUAGGAAAUGGGCAUCAGUGACACUGAAAUUCCCUGAAAGCAUGGAGUAUUUCUUACAUUUUUGUGCUGAUUUCAUGCAGUCAAUUCAUGCUCAGUGUAUCUCAUCCAGGCGUAGUCAGUGAUAGAAGUCAGAGGCAUCUGAAGGCUAACUGGUGCUGUGCACCAAUGUGGUAGGUCCAUAUAGUAGGAAUUGACAUUGACAAUUAGUCAUGAUGAUGUUAGUGAGACAAUUGAACAGUGAACCAACACAGCAAGGUUCCAGUGGAAGUAUUUGAAUGAUAAAUUAUUUAAAGAACCCAAGAAGAGGCAGCAAACUUCCUUCCGAUGACCUCUGAAGCCACAGUGCUAACAUCCACAUGUGCUUUGUAAGACAGAGCCAAAACAAUGAGGAAAGAGAGAGAUUAAUCAGGACUUACCUAUAAUCAGUUGUGAGAAGAAUAAAAUUGGAGACCUGCUUUGGAAUCCUAUAUUGUUGAGUUGCAAUUAUCCAAAUUUGGGAUAAUUAGUGGAACUUCUAUUGUACAGUUUUCAAGACAAUUUUCAUGAAAGAUGUUAAUGUUUUAAAAUUAUACACUCAGUUAUAUGUAUGCUCUUUAAUUUGUGAAUGUAUGGAGUAUACAUACAUACAUAUAUAUAUAUAUAUAUAUAUAAAUUAAUAAUUUUUAGGCAAAAAAAUGACUGCUGGCUUCAAAUAUACCCACAGUUAAACAUUCAUUAUUAACAACCAUUGAAUAGUUAUUUUGUUAUAAAUUCUAAAUUAUAUUUGUCACUAUAGUUUCGUAUUGACAAUAUUACAAUAUUAGAAUGGAACACUUUUGUUUCACCUUUUAUGUAAAAAAUCAAUUUUUUUAAAUUUUGUAAAUCAAUGUUUGGAAUCAAAUACAAGACUUUGAGAAUGAUAGAAAAGUCAUUUAUAUCUGAGGUUCCCCCCAGUCCUUUAAUUACAAAAUUGAGAAUUACCAUCUCAGAUUCUCUGAAGAUAAUCUAGAUGGUUUGUUACUGUCAGAUCACUGAGCC